rnacentral:rRNA from 1 species
UACAGAGGUCUCAAGCGUUGUUCGGAUUCAUUGGGCGUAAAGGGUGCGUAGGUGGCGGGGCCAGUCAGGUGUGAAAUCCCGGGGCUUAACCCUGGAACUGCAUUUGAUACUGCCUUGCUGGAGAACUGGAGAGGAGACUGGAAUUUACGGUGUAGCAGUGAAAUGCGUAGAGAUCGUAAGGAAGACCAGUGGCGAAGGCGAGUCUCUGGACAGUUACUGACACUGAGGCGCGAAAGCAGGGGAGCAAACGGG